rnacentral:lncRNA from 1 species
AUGGAAUUCCAGUUGAGCAUCCUGAAAGAUGAUGCUGUGAAAGUGCUGCACUCAAUAUGCCAGCAAAUUUGGAAAACUCAGCAGUGGCCACAGGACUGGAAAAGGUCAGUUUUCAUUCCAAUCCCAAAGAAAGGCAAUGCCAAAGAAUGUUCAAACUACCACACAAUGGCACUCAUCUCACACGCUAGUAAAGUAAUGCUCAAAAUUCUCCAAGCUAGGCUUCAGCAAUACGUGAACUGUGAACUUCCAGAUGUUCAAGCUGGUUUUCAAAAAGGCAGAGGAACCAGAGAUCAAAUUGCCAACAUCCGCUGGAUCAUUGGAAAAGCAAGAGAGUUCCAGAAAAACAUCUAUUUCUGCUUUAUUGGCUAUGCCAAAGCCUUUGACUGUGUGGAUCACAAUCAACUGUGGAAAAUUCUGAAAGAGAUGGGAAUACCAGACCACCUAACCUGCCUCUUGAGAAAUCUGUAUGCAGGCCAGGAAGCAACAGUUAGAACUGCACAUGGAACAACAGACUGGUUCCAAAUAGGAAAAGGAGUACAUCAAGGAUGUAUAUUGUCACCCUGCUUAUUUAACUUAUAUGCAGAGUACAUCAUGAGAAACACUGGACUGGAAGAAACACAAGCUGGAAUCAAGAUUCCCAGGAGAAAUAUCAAUAACCUCAGAUAUGCAGAUGACACCACCCUUAUGGCAGAAAGGGAAGAGGAACUAAAAAGCCUCUUGAUGAAAGUAAAAGAGGAGAGUGAAAAAGUUGGCUUAAAGGGCAACAUUCAGAAAAUGAAGAUCAUGGCAUCCGGUCCCAUCACUCCAUGGGACAUAGAUGGGGAAACAGUGGAAACAGUGUCAGACUUUAUUUUGGGGGGCUCCAAAAUCACUGCAGAUGGUGAUUGCAGCCAUGAAAUUAAAAGACGCUUACUCCUUGGAAGAAAAGUUAUGAUCAACCUAGAUAGCAUAUUCAAAAGCAGAGACAUUACUUUGCCAACAAAGGUCCAUCUAGUCAAGGCUAUGGUUUUUCCAGUGGUCAUGUAUAGAUGUGAGAGUUGGACUGUGAAGAAGGCUGAGCGCCGAAGAAUUGAUGCUUUUGAACUGUGGUGUUGGAGAAGACUCUUGAGAGUCCCUUGGACGACAAGGAGAUCCAACCAGUCCAUUCUAAAGGAGAUCAGCCCUGGUAUUUCUUUGGAAGAAUGA